rnacentral:rRNA from 1 species
UACGGAGGAUCCGAGCGUUAUCCGGAUUUAUUGGGUUUAAAGGGUGCGUAGGCGGACUAGUAAGUCAGCUGUGAAAGUUAGUGGCUCAACCACUAAAUUGCAGUUGAAACUGUUGGUCUUGAGUAUACAUGAGGUGAGCGGAAUUUGUGGUGUAGCGGUGAAAUGCAUAGAUAUCACAAGGAACUCCAAUUGCGAAGGCAGCUCACUGGGGUAUAACUGACGCUGAGGCACGAAGGUGCGGGUAUCAAACAGG